GAGGACGGUUCCGGGGCUCUCCGGGUAGGAAACGGAGGUGUUGGUCUUUUCUGCUUUUGGUCCCGCAAGUGAGGAUGUGAGCCCCGUGUGAGGAAGGGGGAGCCCGUGGGGGGCCGUGCUGAUGAGGAGGCGCGGGAAGGCGGGAGAGGGUCCCAGAGGACCCUCCGGGGGCUCCCGAGCUGGAGGGACACUGAGGCUGGAGGUGCCAGCUCCCGGGUGGGGCGGCUCUGGGGGAGCCAGUUUGGUUUGGGCAUGGCAGGGUGAGGGAAGAUGGGCCCCCUGGAGGUUUCCCGGCUGGCUACCUCAGAGAAGGGGUCUGAAGUUCAGAAAGAUGUAAAGCCCUCGAAGGUGAAGUGACGGUCGCCCUUCUGAGAACACGAGGUCACUUGAGAGGAAGCCCCCGUGGCUGACAGAAUCGUGGACAGCUGGGCCAGUGCAGUGGAGAAGAGGAGGCAAGAGAGCCAAGGGGCUGACCAGGCCCGGUGGGAGCACCCUGGGGGGCGCUCCCGAAGGUGGGGUCUCCGGCCCCAGCACCGGGACACCUGUGCAGGCUUUGCCAGAUGUCCUCGCGGAAGCCAACUAGCGCUGGUUGGAACCAGUGUUGAGGCUGAGCAUGCACCCUGAGCCUCAGGAAGGGUCCCCUUCUUUCAAAGUGACUGGUCACUAGAACCUGAAAGCCCCCAAUCCCUUGGAUGAGUGGGGUCUCAAAAUGGAAGCCCCAUCACAGACCAGCAGAAAAGGAGAAAGGACCUAGAAGCACGGCCGGCGGUCUGAAGAGCCAACUAACAUGGAUGGGCAGAGAAAGCAGGUCACCUUUGCUAAGAGACAGACUUGCCCCAACACCGUGGUUCCCGCUCAGUUUCCUCUCAAUAGUUUCCUUCUGCAUGAAGAGCCGUGAUAAUGCGGAUAAAUGAAGCAAAAUCCAGGCAGCCUCAAAACGCUUCACUUUUCCCGCAAAACAUUCUCAGCGAAAUAGCUUGAACCUGCGCGAAACACAGACGCGUGCACGCGGACAGAGCCGCUUCCACAUCGGCCUGUCUGCGCUCUGGUGUCCGCAGAGCCUCCGGCCGGGUGUCCCGGGAGCCCGCCACGGCCUCGCUACUGUCAUUUUCUUGACUGGAAGUUCCUGGUGCUUCGGCCUCUUCUCCGUGGGAGAGCGUGCCUCACGCCCGGCUCCACCUGGCUUCCUCUGGCCUGUCCGCGCCCACCAGGGUCGAGUCACGUCCAGCUUUGAACGAAGGCCCGGCAGGUGGCUUCUCAGGACACUGGAUUCCACCCUGGGCUCCUUUAAGGCGGCCUGAUUAAUUCAUGAUGGCGCCCCAGGCGCCCGCCCAGGCCAGAGGAUUUACUGUACCUGUCCACGCGGCCGCGCCAGGAGAUGGCGGCACCUCCAGGCCAUCUGUCACAACAAGACUGCUGAGGGAGCGCCCACGAGCCCACACAGUGUGCUGCUGUCCAGCGAGGGAGCUGAGGGCAAGGUGCCCGUCCGCCCCCCGCUGCCCGUCCUGGCCUGAGGCCCCGCCCCGAGCAGCUUCUCACUCUGGGCAUGAAGAAUCGGGUGCCCAUCAGCCUGCUGCCCCCAGAACCAGCCUGUGGCCCGUCCAGAGGCCCAUGGUGCCCAAGGGCCGCAACAGGCAGGGCUUCUCCGUCCUGCAGCCCCCGAGUCAGGCCUCAGCUCACAGACAGCUCACAGAGCCCCUCCAUCCUGCCCGUGGCGCAGACCAAAGCGGCAGCAGGACCUCGGCGAGAAGCCUGUGGCUGCGACAACCCCGGUGUCCCCACCCUCUAGCCUCUGCGGCUGGCCCCUGGGCCUGCCCUCCCCCCUGGGGGUCUUUCUGGAGAGUGGCUUCCCACUGGGCCCCCCCCGGAGCCCCCCCCAUCCCUUUGGUGGGUGACGAAGCUGCAACCCACCCUCCUCGAGACUGUGACUUCCCAGGGUGAGGGCCAGCGCUCUCCGGCGGUUAUCACCUCUCGGGCCUGUCCCCACGGGCUACACUGUCGGCGCCUAAUAAACGUGUGUGG